AAUCAAAAUGUGAUAAAUAAUUUCCUUUGAUACAUGCAACCGGUGGAAAAUAUGGAUAAAAGUUUCAAAUUUGUUUAUGUUACGAUUAUUCUUUUUUCCCUUUUUCUUGUUUCAAUGCAAAUAAAUCGUAAGCCAUUUUCAUAUCUUUUUCAAAUUUCGUUCUUUACUUCGUACACAAUAUUUUAUCUCAUUUAGUAACAUUCUUUGUUCUCCUUUUACAUUACAGGUCCAUGUCCAUGUGUUAAUGAUCAUGAUUGUCCAGUACUUUGGUGCUAUAAUCCUUUAAAAAGUAGGUGUCGUAAUGGUAUUUGUAUAUGUCAAUCAUAAAGAUUCAUAGAUUAUAUGUGUGUCAGACCUAAGAGAAUACACAAACGCCAUGCUAAAAUAUUUCAUGAGCUAUUAUUUAGUUACUAUGAUCACCCAAUACUUAAAUUUUGUUUUAAGUUAUUCUAAUUUCAUGGACCUUGUUAAUUUUGUACUUUAAGAUGAUGCAAGUAAAAUGAAAUAAAGUAUAUCCAGAAAUAGUAUCAAUAGUGUCUCUUCUCUCUUAAUUUUGAUAUAUCAUGGUAUCUAUAUUGUAGAAGUACGAAGGAUGAAAAACUUAAAUAGAUAAGCAGUAGAUAAAUAGAUGUUCAUAAAAACUUAUAUAUAAGUUUGAAGAAAAUACAUCAUAUUUCAAAGACUCGAAACAUAUAAGACUACAAAAGACACCCCGACUAUCCAAACAAGACCACAUUCCUCGUCAAAUGAGAUUGGCGUCUACACCGCCAGCUGCAAAGUAGAAAGAAUUGUACCAUCUUCAACCUUGAACUUAUGGUUCUUAUUUAUUUGUAAAUUGUGAGAUGUUGAUCAUGAGAGCUUGCAAAUAAAAUUUUAGUUUUAUGCCAUUUUCCUUUGAUAUUUCCUAUGUCUUUGGUUAUCUAAAACUUAACUUAUAACCAAAAUUGAAAUUGAUUGCCUUGUCAACCAUGUACGCAUCCAUCACCAUUCUUAAAUCUCUACGUAUCCUAUUGAUCUUAUGUGUGAUUGUUCAUUGAACAAAGAAAAAAAAUAGAAAAGAAGAAAAAGAAAAUGUAUGAAUGUGGGUCGGUAAAAUGCAACUACUCGAACUAAAAAAAGUAAUCCCACUAUAAGUUUUUCAUCACAAAAGAUAGUUGAUCCACAAAUGAUCAAAUAAAGAAUGAAAUUGCUCGAAUUAAGAGAAAAUAACAUCCGUUAAUUCAUCCCAAAAGAUUGUUGAACCUUAUAUGUUAUGAUAAAUGUGUUAAUGAAAAAAAUGAUCAUGUGAACUAAGCUCAUAAGUCAAGAAGGACCAAAUCUAAAAUAAAAAAAGAAUGCUCCUCAAUUUCANN
rnacentral:lncRNA from 1 species